rnacentral:rRNA from 1 species
AAUCAACGCUGGCGGCGUGCCUCAGACAUGCAAGUCGAACGCGAAAUCCCGAGCAAUCGGGAAAGUAGAGUGGCGCACGGGUGAGUAACACGUAGGUAAUCUACCUUCGGGUGGGGAAUAACAACCGGAAACGGUUGCUAAUACCGCAUAAUGCAGCGGCACCUAAUGGUGACAGUUGUUAAAGCGGGGGAUCGCAAGACCUCGCGCCUGAAGAGGAGCCUGCGGCGGAUUAGCUAGUUGGCAGGGUAACGGCCUACCAAGGCGACGAUCCGUAGCCGGCCUGAGAGGGCGGUCGGCCACACUGACACUGACAUACGGGUCAGACUCCUACGGGAGGCAGCAGUCGGGAAUUUUGGGCAAUGGGCGAAAGCCUGACCCAGCAACGCCGCGUGAAGGAUGAAAUCCCUCGGGAUGUAAACUUCGCAAGAACGGGGAGAAUAAGUCUGAGCCAAUAACUUAGAUGAUGACGGUACCGUUUGUAAGCUCCGGCUAACUCCGUGCCAGCAGCCG